AGAGGGUUAAUCCCUCUACUUUAAACUCACUUGACUAAGUCAAAAGGUCCAAAGUCCUUGAAAAGAGUGAUGGGAGU
rnacentral:ribozyme from 1 species